rnacentral:lncRNA from 10 species
GUGGCAGCAAGCCUUGUCAGCCAGGCCAACACCCAUCCCUUGCCUCAACCAGAGGACCACUGAGGCUGACCUGGUGAGGUGGACCCUUUGAGAAGACUGCUGUUGGAAGCCUCCUAUCAGACUCUCUGCCUGGCCUGAGAUAUCCAGUUAACACCUGCAAUUCAGAAUACCCUCUCACCCAGCAAUAAAGCAUCCAGCCUUUGCAUCUGUAACAACCUCCUCUGUAAUUUGUGCAUUCUAUGAUCACAUCAGCAUUUGCUGCCCACUUUCUCCCUCCAGCAUCUUCCGCAGCCUAGUCAUACAUUGUGUGCAUCAGGCCUUCACCAGCAUGCUAAGAUUUGUCCAAGAGUCUUGAUGUCCUAAACGCAAGUGACAUGUAAAGCUUGGAUCCCAAGGUCAAACAGCAUGACUUGUGGAUAACAAGUAGGUAAAAAUAUACACGCCUUUCUCCUUCACUCAUAUGCCAUUUUAGAACACUUGAUUAACUAUAUCUAUAAAAUGAGAAGUCUUUUUUUGCUCUCUAAAGCUGAGCCUGCUUCUAAGCGGGGUUAAUAUGGAC